rnacentral:tRNA from 1 species
GCGGCGGUAGUUCAGCGGUAGAACGCUUGUCUGCCAGGCAGGAUGUCGCGGGUUCGAUUCCCGCUCGCCGCUCCA